rnacentral:lncRNA from 1 species
GUUCAAGUCGUUGAUAAAGCCAAUGUGGAAAGUAGAUUUCACUCGUGCGAUCAACUCCUACAUCAACAUUUUUUCUUCCUCCAACCAUCUCUAGGACCAUCAUUCCAUAGCUAUAGACGUCAGACUUGUGAGAGACACCUCCCAAGUUUCUGCAAACAAUUUCCGGAGCAAUAUAGCCUAUAGUACCUCGUGGACCUAACAUUGACACGACACUCUCCUUUUUUAUGCAUAGUUUGGCAAGGCCAAAGUCAGAGAUCUUUGGACAAAAAUCCUCAUCAAGUAAGAUAUUAUGAGGCUUUAUAUCAAAAUGCAAAAUCCGAGUGUUACAACCACGGUGCAAGUACUCCAAUCCUCGAGCAAUGCCUAGUGCGAUUUUGUAUAAUAUUGGCCAACUUAAUUGGCGAACAUUGUCGGAUCUUUUUUCAUAGAUAAACUUUUCAAGAGAUCCAUUAGGCAUGAACUCAUAUACAAGAGCUCUUUUCUGUCCCUCAAAACAGAAUCCCACAAGGCUCACAAUGUUAACAUGUGAUGUUCUGCUAAUACUUGCCACUUCGUUAACGAAAUCUUCACCACUGCCUUUUAGUUCAUUCAGGACCUUCACUGCCACUUCACUCCCAUCACGCAAACUUCCUCUGUAUACAUUACCAAAUCCUCCAUGGCCUAGUUUGUUUCUGAAGCGACCGGUGAUUCUUUUGAUGUCUGUAUAAUUGUAUCUGUUUGGAGCAUAUGAUCCAUAGUUCUUUAAGAAUUCUUCAACUUUUUGAUGAUCCUCAGCAUUAGAUUCCCAACACCUGAGGUAUUUGUACCACAAAAUCUUUUUUCUGAAGCAGAAGAGUAAAAUCAACAGUCCAACAGUAAACAAACUUGCACCUGUGUGAAAAAGAUGAAGUCAUGCCCCAUCAGAGACUACAACAACAACAACAUAAUAGCCAAUGUAAUCCCACAAAGUAGGGUCUGGGUAGGGUAGGUGUAAGUAGACCUUACUCUACACCAUGGACCUUCGGCACGAGAAAAAAAAAACAGUUGGGAAAAGGAAAUAACAGAAAAUGAAGAAACCAUGGCAAAACACUACAGAAAGCAUGAUCAAACAUUCUAAACAAUAGCUACAACAUAAAAUAUGACAAUCGAAGCACAACAGUAACAGAAAUCUAGCAACUAGAUACAGGAUUAUUGCUAUGCUACUAAUAGGAAAGGAUAAUCGAGAACAUCUGCAAACCAAUACCUGUGGCCACCAUGAACCAGAUUAUCCGAAGGUAACCCCUUUUUGAUGUUCCAGCUGUUACAGUGCUAACAUUUGCAAUACCAAUACUUUUAAUAACAUCUGCAACACCAAAGCUUGUGUGAGUUUCAGAUUAUAAAACUUUUCUCCGAUUAAGCGAAAAAGUCUGAUAAUGAUAGAAGGAGAAAAAGAUUUUAAUUUGGAAAGGAGGCAAGUUUUCCCCCACAUGGCUCCGCCCCUGGCCCUAACCCCAGUUUUGCUCCCACAUGGCUCUGCCCCUGCCUUACCCCAAGUUCUAAAACAGUGGAUAAGUACAUAUAUGGAGAUGUCUACCUUUGUGACAAGAAAAUUUGUUGGUUUUAUUAGUCUGGCAUUGACCUCCACCAUAAUGACAUUCUUUACAUUCCUCAGAUAAUUUCCAUUCUACUAGAAUUUCAGGACCUAACACGUCGAACAAAUCACCAUGAGUUGCCUGAAUUGGCAAUCUGAUAAGUGAACAGUUGGUAGGAAGAUUGUCUGCUCCUAUGUAUUCAUCAUCAUGUCGGGAAAGGUUGUAGUAUAUGCUAAAGCCUUCACAGCCGGUGUACAUAUUAUAACCAGCAAAAUGAUCGUUCUUCUUCUGCGUAAUGUUACGGGUAUUAUUACUGGUACUGAUGCAUUUGUAGAAGCUUAUUAUAUUAAUCAUAUGGAAAGACAUAAAAGAAGAGUAUGAAAGGGAGAAAUUUUUGUUAAAAGCCUGGCACUUGUGUUGCGUCAACGUUGUUUGAAGCUUCGUGUCCCCAAGCCAAACUGAUAAAUUAUGCAUCUCUAAAGCAUAGUACCAAUAUCCCUCAGGAAGCAGUCGGAUUCUCGGAUAUGGUUUAGCAUCACAACCAGAUAAGAACAUUAUUCCACAUUCAGGUUGUGUAGAAAGAGAGAAAGGAAAGCUUAGGUCAGUAAAAUUUCCACAUGAAAAUGACUUUGGACAAGUUGAAUCAUUUCUGCCCUUUGCCUGAACUAAGAUCAGGAGAAGUGAUAGGAGAUAGCUUACAUAUGAAGUGAUAGCCAUAUUAAAUAUCUCGAGAAGAGGAAGACUAGAUUAUGAACUCAUUUGUUCACUACAACUUAACAUUUAAAAGCAUAGUUGAUUGGGAAAAUUUGUGAGAAACGUGUAUCAUGGUGUAAAGACUUGAAGUCUUGCAUCAUUAUUUAGACUUAGUCGUCAAGCCUAGUGAAGAGACAACUAUCACUUUUUUUUACUGAGUUUUAUAGCCAUUGUUCCUUUUACCUACCUAAACUAUAUAUAUCACUCUCUUUGUAUUAAAACACACCAUGAUGCAGAGUUCGCAAAACAGGCCAAUUCAACAUCGAAGGUAUGUUUUAGUACAGAUGGAGUGAUAGUUUAGAUAGGUAAAAGUGAACAAUGGAUAGUUGAGAUAUGAAACUCGCGAAAAGGUGAUAAGAGUUAAUGGGAAAAAACACACCUAUAUCAAAGUCUAUUCUAACAUUACUGGGAGUGGAAAAGUCUCAGAAUUAUCAAUAGAUACUUCCAACAUCUAAAGGACUUUUCUCCUCUACUUAUGCAUCCUAUCCUUUUCUCUUUUUUCUUCGUUUAGUCACAAUCAUUUUCCAAGUAGGACAGUACAUACAAUUCUAUUCUAACAUUUUUAGACAUAAAAUGCUAGAGAGACAAGAAUUGAACUUAGAGACUUAAUUUUCUUCACUAUACACUGAAAUUCCAAGAACAUUUUGCUUCAUAGUCUUUAUAUACAAAAUAAGUUAUCUGAGGAACAAAUUUUAUUUGACAGAACCUACAUAGUGUGCUUCUGAUGCCAAUGUUCAAUAGAACAUUUAACUAAGAAAUGAACCUACAUAAGUGUUGACAUUCUUGGGAAUGAUGUACUAGUUAAUCGUUUUCGUUCCAUCGCAUACUCGAUUAAAGGAGUUUUUUUUUCAAGAAGAGAGAUCUCAAACUUAAAGGACUGAGAACUCUUCUUCCUCAAGAAAUUUUGAAGAAUAGGGAAUUCAAGUCUUUUUAAUAUUUAACUUCCAUGUAGUAAUAUACAUCCUUGACAACUAAUGAAAAUCACAAAAUGAAAUUGAAAGCUAUGGUUGAACACUUGAACUAAACCUUUCUUCUCUUUGCUAGUUAAGUACCAACAAGUACUUAGUUAACUAAACUGUCUUGCAUUUCUUUCAAACCAUUUUCUGCAAAACGAUUUUCUUGAGCUUAGGGUCUAUCAGGAACAACCUCUCUACUCCACAAAGGUGGAUGCAAGUUUUGCAUACACCCUACUCUUCUCACACCCCACUUGCGGGACUAUACUGGAUAUGUUGUUGUUGUUGUUGUUGUUGCCAGUUCUAUUGUUGAUGAAUCUACCUCUGAUCUUGAGGGAGAAUAUAGGUAAGGUUUGGGAGGCAUUUGCAAAGAGUCUAGUUUCCCUUCUAACAUUUCCACAACCUUGCUCAUCGAUGGUCGAUUUGCCGGAUCAGUCUGUAUACACCAUAAACUUGCUAUCACCAUCUUUCUUGCACAUUCGUUCUCCUCUUCAUUCAUUAUCCCCAUUAGUUGAAGCUCUUCGUCUAGUUCAAUUCGUCGAUAGAUCCAAUGUGGAUAGUAGACUUCACUCGUGCGAUCAACUCCAACAUCAACAUUUUUUCUUCCUCCAACCAUCUCUAGGACCAUCAUUCCAUAGCUAUAGACAUCAGACUUGUGAGAGACACCUCCCAAGUUUCUGCAAACAAUUUCUGGAGCAAUAUAACCUAUAGUACCUCGUGGACCUAACAUUGAC